UGUUUCCUUGGUUGAUUUGUUGAUGCAUUUAUUUGUUCUUGAUGCCAUUUUUAAAUCUCUUAUGACAGGAAAAGGAAGUUGGAAAAGCAAAAGAAAUGUCAAACAAAGUACAGAAUGUUUAACAUACCUGUUGGGCUGAUUUUAACAUCAAGUGAAGAUUUGAGCCGAGUCUCUUUGUAUACUAUAUCUAUCAUAUUUAAUAUAUUGGAUAGUGGUGUUGAUCCGAAUACUUGAAGGGAGCUUGUCCAGACGUCUGGGGAUCUGAUUGUUCGCCACUUUGCAGUUCUCUACCUACUGCAGCAGCUGGUAGUGCACUAGGAUACGAGUCAUGUAAUUUAAUUAUCAGUUAAAUUUUCAUGCCAUGGUUUUGUUCAUGUACUCCAUUAAGCUGCAAUCUAAGUUAGGAUACUGCUAGGUUGUGGGCAUGUAUUGUUGAUGUAAUUUGUAUUCCUUUUUCCUUCUCUCUCAGUAAAAGCAAUAGUUUGCAAGGAACAAA